rnacentral:rRNA from 1 species
UGAGGAAUAUUGGGCAAUGCCCGCAAGGGUGACCCAGCAACGCCGCGUGGAGGAUGAAUGUCGUAAGAUUGUAAACUCCUGUUAGAGGGGAAGAAUAGUACCGGUUGGACCGGUAUAUGACUGUACCCUCAGAGAAAGCCCCAGCUAACUACGUGCCAGCAGCCGCGGUAAUACGUAGGGGGCAAGCGUUGUCCGGAUUUACUGGGUGUAAAGGGCGCGCAGGCGGGAUAAAAAGUCAGUGGUGAGAUCCUACAGCUUAACUGUAGAACUGCCUUUGAUACUUUUAUUCUUGAGUUCGGGAGAGAGAGACGGAAUUCCAGGUGUAGUGGUGAAAUACGUAGAUAUCUGGAAGAACACCAGUUGCGAAGGCGGUCUCUUGGUCCGACACUGACGCUGAGGCGCGAAAGCGUGGGGAGCAAACA